rnacentral:rRNA from 1 species
AGCGUAGACGGAUGGACAAGUCUGAUGUGAAAGGCUGGGGCUCAACCCCGGGACUGCAUUGGAAACUGCCCGUCUUGAGUGCCGGAGAGGUAAGCGGAAUUCCUAGUGUAGCGGUGAAAUGCGUAGAUAUUAGGAGGAACACCAGUGGCGAAGGCGCCUUUCUGGACUGUGUCUGACGCUGAGAUGCGAAAGCCAGGGUAGCGAACG